UACAGAGGUCUCAAGCGUUGUUCGGAUUCAUUGGGCGUAAAGGGUGCGUAGGCGGCGCGGUAAGUCGGGUGUGAAAUCUCGGAGCUUAACUCCGAAACUGCAUUCGAUACUGCCGUGCUUGAGGACUGGAGAGGAGACUGGAAUUUACGGUGUAGCAGUGAAAUGCGCAGAUAUCAGGAAGAACACCCGUGGCGAAGGCGGCUCUCUGGGACGGUACUGACGCUGAGACGCGAAAGCGUGGGGAGCAAACAGG
rnacentral:rRNA from 1 species